rnacentral:rRNA from 1 species
AGUGAACGCUGGCGGUAGGCCUAACACAUGCAAGUCGAACGGCGGCACAGAGGAGCUUGCUCCUUGGGUGGCGAGUGGCGGACGGGUGAGGAAUACAUCGGAAUCUACUCUGUCGUGGGGGAUAACGUAGGGAAACUUACGCUAAUACCGCAUACGACCUACGGGUGAAAGCAGGGGAUCUUCGGACCUUGCGCGAUUGAAUGAGCCGAUGUCGGAUUAGCUAGUUGGCGGGGUAAAGGCCCACCAAGGCGACGAUCCGUAGCUGGUCUGAGAGGAUGGUCAGCCACACUGGAACUGAGACACGGUCCAGACUCCUACGGGAGGCAGCAGUGGGGAAUAUUGGACAAUGGGCGCAAGCCUGAUCCAGCCAUACCGCGUGGGUGAAGAAGGCCUUCGGGUUGUAAAGCCCUUUUGUUGGGAAAGAAAUCCAGCCGGCUAAUACCUGGUUGGGAUGACGGUACCCAAAGAAUAAGCACCGGCUAACUUCGUG